rnacentral:rRNA from 1 species
CACGGAGGUCGCAAGCGGUGUUCGGAAUCAUUGGGCGUAAAGCGCGUGUAGGCGGUCUGGUCAGUCGGGUGUGAUAUACCGGAGCUCAACUCCGGAACUGCAUUCGAUACUGCCAGGCUAGAGUCCCGGAGAGGGUGGUGGAAUUCCCGGUGUAGAGGUGAAAUUCGUAGAUAUCGGGAGGAACACCAGCGGCGAAGGCGGCCACCGGGACGGUGACUGACGCUGAGACGCGAAAGCGUGGGGAGCAAACAGG